UACGUAGGCAGCGAGCGUUGUUCGGAUUUACUGGGCGUAAAGGGCGCGUAGGCGGCCACCGCAAGUCGGUUGUGAAAUCUCCGGGCUUAACCCGGAAAGGUCAAUCGAUACUGCGGGGCUAGAGUGCAGAAGGGGCAACUGGAAUUCUCGGUGUAGCGGUGAAAUGCGUAGAUAUCGAGAGGAACACCUGCGGCGAAGGCGGGUUGCUGGGCUGACACUGACGCUGAAGCGCGAAAGCUAGGGGAGCGAACGGG
rnacentral:rRNA from 1 species